GAAUCUUGCGCAAUGGGCGAAAGCCUGACGCAGCGACGCCGCGUGAGGGAUGACGGCCUUCGGGUCGUAAACUCCUGUCGAGCGGGAAGAAACCCGCGGGGAUGAAUAAUCCCUGCGGCUGACGGUACCGCCAAAGGAAGCCCCGGCUAACUCCGUGCCAGCAGCCGCGGUAAUACGGGGGGGGCAAGCGUUGUUCGGAAUUACUGGGCGUAAAGGGCUCGUAGGCGGCCAACUAAGUCGGAUGUGAAAUCCCCAGGCUCAACCUGGGAACUGCAUCCGAUACUGGAUGGCUUGAAUCCGGGAGAGGGAUGCAGAAUUCCAGGUGUAGCGGUGAAAUGCGUAGAUAUCUGGAGGAAUACCGGUGGCGAAGGCGGCAUCCUGGACCGGCAUUGACGCUGAUGAGCGAAAGCCAGGGGAGCAAACGGG
rnacentral:rRNA from 1 species